rnacentral:rRNA from 1 species
GAUGAACGCUGGCGGCGUGCCUAAUACAUGCCAGUCGAGCGAACAGACGAGGAGCUUGCUCCUCUGACGUUAGCGGCGGACGGGUGAGUAACACGUGGAUAACCUACCUAUAAGACUGGGAUAACUUCGGGAAACCGGAGCUAAUACCGGAUAAUAUAUUGAACCGCAUGGUUCAAUAGUGAAAGACGGUUUUGCUGUCACUUAUAGAUGGAUCCGCGCCGCAUUAGCUAGUUGGUAAGGUAACGGCUUACCAAGGCGACGAUGCGUAGCCGACCUGAGAGGGUGAUCGGCCACACUGGAACUGAGACACGGUCCAGACUCCUACGGGAGGCAGCAGUAGGGAAUCUUCCGCAAUGGGCGAAAGCCUGACGGAGCAACGCCGCGUGAGUGAUGAAGGUCUUCGGAUCGUAAAAUUCUGUUAUUAGGGAAGAACAAAUGUGUAAGUAACUAUGCACGUCUUGACGGUACCUAAUCAGAAAGCCACGGCUAACUACGUG